rnacentral:rRNA from 1 species
GGUGAACGCUGGCGGCGUGCUUAAGACAUGCAAGUCGAACGCAGUCUUCGGACUGAGUGGCGCACGGGUGAGUAACACGUAACUGACCUACCCCCAAGUCGCGAAUAACCAGCCGAAAGGAUGGCUAAUACGUGAUGUGAUGAUCCGCUGUGGCGGAUCAUUAAAGACUUGAUCGCUUGGGGAUGGGGUUGCGUUCCAUCAGCUAGUUGGUAAGGUAAAGGCUUACCAAGGCAACGACGGAUAGCCGACCUGAGAGGGUGGCCGGCCACAGGGGCACUGAGACACGGGUCCCACUCCUACGGGAGGCAGCAGUUAGGAAUCUUCCACAAUGGGCGCAAGCCUGAUGGAGCGACGCCGCGUGAGGGAUGAAGGUUCUCGGAUCGUAAACCUCUGAACCAACGACGAAAGACCCGACAAGGGAGAUGACGGUAGUUGGGUAAUAGUACCGGCUAACUCCGUGCCAGCCGCCGCCGUAAUAC